rnacentral:tRNA from 1 species
GAAUCUCAGUGGUAGAGCAUUCGACUGCAGAUCGAGAGGUCCCCUGUUCAAAACCGGGUGUCCU